rnacentral:rRNA from 1 species
GAUGAACGCUGACAGAAUGCUUAACACAUGCAAGUCUUUGGCGAAGCUGUGCUUGCACAGCCUAGCCAAGGCGGACGGGUGAGUAACGCGUAAGGAACUUGCCCUGCAGUCAGGGAUAACAGACGGAAACGACUGAUAAGACCUGGUAAAGUCAGGCGGACUCAUGUCCAGCCUGAUGAAAAGAGAUGCUGCAGGAGAGCCUUGCGUCCUAUUAGCUUGUUGGUGGGGUAACGGCCCACCAAGGCGAUGAUAGGUAGCCGGCCUGAGAGGGUGGACGGCCACAAGGGGACUGAGAUCCGGCCCUUACUCCUACGGGAGGCAGCAGUGGGGAAUAUUGGACAAUGGGGGCAACCCUGGUCCAGCAAUUCUGUGUGCACGAUGAAGGUUUUCGGAUUGUAAAGUGCUUUCAGCAGGGAAGAAAAAAAUGACGGUACCUGCAGAAGAAGCGACGGCUAAAUACGUG